rnacentral:rRNA from 1 species
AAGUAUAUGCAUAUUUUAUAUGUAGAAACUGCGAACGGCUCAUUAAAACAGUUAUAAUCUACUUGACAUUUUUUCUAUAAGGAUAACUACGGAAAAGCUGUAGCUAAUACUUGCUUUAGCACUCUUGAUUAAGUUCUUGAGUGUGUACUUGUUAAGCCUUUUAAGAAAAAAGUUAUUAACUUAAGGAAUUAUAACAAAGAAGUAACACGUAAUGGAUCCGUCCAUUUUUAGUGUGUAUCAAUCGAGUUUCUGACCUAUCAGCUUUUGAUGUUAGGGUAUUGGCCUAACAUGGCUAUGACGGGUAACGGGGAAUUAGAGUUCGAUUCCGGAGAGGGAGCCUGAGAAAUAGCUACCACAUCUAAGGAAGGCAGCAGGCGCGUAAAUUACCCAAUUCUAAAGAAGAGAGGUAGUGACAAGAAAUAACAAUACAAGGCCAAUCUGGCUUUGUAAUUGGAAUGAUGGGAAUUUAAAACCUUCCCAAAACUCAAUUGGAGGGCAAGUCUGGUGCCAGCAGCCGCGGUAAUUCCAGCUCCAAUAGCGUAUAUUAAAAUUGUUGCAGUUAAAACGCUCGUAGUUGAAUUUCAAAGAAUCGAUAUUUUAAGUAACGCUUUGUAGAUUAAUCCACAUAACUGAUACUACGUAUCGACUUUGUGCGCAUUUUUCUACUUAUGUGUUCUUUUAAUUAAAAUGAUUCUUUUUAAGAUCUUUCUUUUUUGCUUCGGCAUUUUAGGAGAUCUUGUUACUUUGAGUAAAUUAGAGUGUUCAAAGCAAACAGAUUAUAGCAUCUUUAUGCGUUUGAAUACUACAGCAUGGAAUAACAAAAUUGAACAAGUCAGAAUUUUGUUCUUUUUUCUUAUUUUGGCUUAGUUACGAUUAAUAGGAGUAGCUUGGGGGCAUUUGUAUUCAGAUGUCAGAGGUGAAAUUCUUAGAUUUUCUGGAGACAAACAACUGCGAAAGCAUUUGCCUAAAAUACUUCCAUUAAUCAAGAACGAAAGUUAAGGGAGUGAAGACGAUCAGAUACCGUCGUAAUCUUAACCAUAAACUAUGCCGACUAGGCUUUGGAUGAAAGAUUUUAAAAUAAGAGUUUUUUCUCUGAGGAGUUAAAACUCUUAGAUUGCUUCCUUCAGUGCCUUAUGAGAAAUCAAAGUCUUUGGGUUCUGGGGCGAGUAUUCGCGCAAGCGAGAAAGUUAAAAGAAUUGACGGAAGGGCACCACCAGGCGUGGAGCUUGCGGCUUAAUUUGACUCAACACGGGAAAACUCACUAGUUUAAGACAAGAGUAGGAUUGACAGAUUAAUAGCUCUUUCUUGAUUUCUUGGAUGGUGAUGCAUGGCCGUUUUUAGUUCGUGAAUAUGAUUUGUCUGGUUAAUUCCGAUAACGAACGAGAUCUUAACCUGCUAAUUAGCGGCAAAUACGAUAUAUUCUUAUGUGGAAUUGAAUAUAGUUGAUUUGCUUAUUUUGAAGAAAAUAUUGGGAUAGAUACGUAAAUGUAUCCCUUUCCCUUUUCUACUUAAUUUGCUUAUCAUACUAUUUCUUUUUUGCGUAAGAAUGUAUUUGCUUGAUUGUAAAGCUUCUUAGAGGAACGAUGUGUGUCUAACACAAG